rnacentral:rRNA from 1 species
UUGGAGGGCAAGUCUGGUGCCAGCAGCCGCGGUAAUUCCAGCUCCAAUAGCGUAUAUUAAAGUUGUUGCAGUUAAAAAGCUCGUAGUUGAAUUUCGAGAUCAGUACGCUGGUCGUGCCUUCGGUAUGCACUGGUGUCACUGGUUUCUCCCUUCUGAAGAACCGUCACGCCAUUAAGUUGGUGUGGCGGGGAAUCAGGACUGUUACUUUGAAAAAAUUAGAGUGUUUAAAGCAGGCUCGCGCUUGAAUACAUUAGCAUGGAAUAAUGAAAUAGGACGUUUGACCCUAUUUUGUUGGUUUCUAGGAUCGACGUAAUGAUUAAUAGGGAUAGUUGGGGGCAUUAGUAUUCAAUUGUCAGAGGUGAAAUUCUUGGAUUUAUUGAAGACUAACUACUGCGAAAGCAUUUGCCAAGGAUGUUUUCAUUAAUCAAGAACGAAAGUUAGGGGAUCGAAGACGAUCAGAUACCGUCGUAGUCUUAACCAUAAACUAUGCCGACUAGGGAUCGGAUGAUGUUAAUUUUUUAAUGACUCAUUCGGCGCCUUACGGGAAAC